GAGUUUGAUCCUGGCUCAGAACGAACGCUGGCGGCAGGCUUAAUACAUGCAAGUCGAACGGUUGUAGCAAUACAGCAGUGGCAGACGGGUGAGUAACACGUGGGAACCUACCUAGGGGUACGGAAUAACUCAGGGAAACUUGUGCUAAUACCGUAUACGACCUUCGGGUGAAAGAUUUAUCGCCCCUAGAUGGGCCCGCGUUGGAUUAGCUAGUUGGUGAGGUAAAAGCUCACCAAGGCGACGAUCCGUAGCUGGUCUGAGAGGAUGAUCAGCCACACUGGGACUGAGACACGGCCCAGACUCCUACGGGAGGCAGCAGUAGGGAAUCUUGGACAAUGGGCGAAAGCCUGAUCCAGCCAUGCCGCGUGAGUGAUGAAGGCCUUAGGGUUGUAAAGCUCUUUCGCCAGGGAAGAUAAUGACUGUACCUGGAUAAGAAGCACCGGCUAACCCUGUGCCAGCAGCCGCGGUAAUACG
rnacentral:rRNA from 1 species